rnacentral:rRNA from 1 species
GAUGAACGCUGGCGGCGUGCCUAAUACAUGCAAGUCGAGCGAACAGACGAGGAGCUUGCUCCUCUGACGUUAGCGGCGGACGGGUGAGUAACACGUGGAUAACCUACCUAUAAGACUGGGAUAACUACGGGAAACCGGAGCUAAUACCGGAUAAUAUAUUGAACCGCAUGGUUCAAUAGUGAAAGACGGUUUUGCUGUCACUUAUAGAUGGAUCCGCGCCGCAUUAGCUAGUUGGUAAGGUAACGGCUUACCAAGGCGACGAUGCGUAGCCGACCUGAGAGGGGGAUCGGCCACACUGGAACUGAGACACGGUCCAGACUCCUACGGGAGGCAGCAGUAGGGAAUCUUCCGCAAUGGGCGAAAGCCUGACGGAGCAACGCCGCGUGAGUGAUGAAGGUCUUCGGAUCGUAAAACUCUGUUAUUAGGGAAGAACAAAUGUGUAAGUAACUAUGCACGUCUUGACGGUACCUAAUCAGAAAGCCACGGCUAACUACGUG